rnacentral:lncRNA from 1 species
UUUUUUUUUCGUGUAUUUUCUUUGGGCUCCAUGAAGGUAUACUAUCUGGGCCGGGCCCCCUGCCUCCUCGGAGCCCAGGGCGGGCGCCCCGUUUGCCCGGCCUAUGGGCCGGGCCUGUCUGCAUUAGAGUAAAUAAUUUUCUAUGCUGAGUUUCCAAAUCAUCUCCAUAAUUGAAAACCUGGAUGGCUUCAAUUUUAAAAGGAAUAGCCUACGACUAUGAGAUGCUAAGCAUGCUUUGCAUCUGACCGAACUUCUCUGAACCAUAUACUCAUACUAUAGCCAAAAAACCAUUUGCACACGUACGUGAUAAAUUAUGACAUUUGUUGGCGAGGAAACGACAUGAAAAGCUGCUGCUACAGACUGGGUUAAGUGAACAGAACAACAAUACCAAAUCGAAACAAAAAUAAAUUGUACUAUCAUUAAAAAGAAUCCAUUGUAAGAGCUGCUACAGAUCUUGAAGUACGGUAGCAGUAUUCAAACACCAACAUCGAGCACCUUCAGCGAGAGAUCCGGAUUAAAACACCAACAUCGAGCACACAUAUAUUUGAUAGCUCCACUCCAAAAGUAUGAAAUUCCUCAAGUUGAAUACCUAGAAACAAAAGGUGAAAUAAGGAUCUCUUUUGGACAUAUCAACAAAAAGAGGAAAGGUUAUGUUAGAGACCAAUCGAAAUCAUCGAAAGUUCAGCACAUCAGCCUUUCAGCAUAUGUACAUGCAAAGCAACUCUUUCUCGGAGUGAACUCCGAACUCUUCUGUCACACCGAGACGGUCUAUACAGGUGCCGCCGCCGCCGGCGACGCCCUACCACAGAAGAUCGUCUUCGAGUCUCGAGUUGCCGCACCCAACCCCAAGGACCUGCAGCACCACAACACCCAACAUACGUGACGGCAAGGUGUCGUGCUUCGAUGGCAGCGAGUCCCCGGCCGUGGCAGGGUGCCCCUUUGGUAGCAACGCAGCGCCGUCGGCAGUGGGCAUCCCGAUGCCAUGAAAAAGCAAAGAAGAAAUGUAAAGUGAAACUGAUGGAAAAAUCACAAGAACAAUAAGUAAGACAUACCAUGAAAAAGUUGAGGGCGUACUUCUUGUCCAUUCAAUGUAGUUUUCUUCCCAUUCACGCCAACCCAUCUCUCUCUCAAGAUUGGCUGAUCAAUAAUGCACAUAACCUAAAUAAAAGAAAAAUAGUCAAUGGCAAGUGUUAUAGAACAAAUAUCUAACAUACAUGACGCAAUUAGACAACAUGUCCAGAAGAGACUUCAGCAUAUAAAUGAUAUGCUGAAAUUAAACAAAAAAUAUUUUACAGGUUGCAUCAAAUAUGUCGCAGCAGUAGUUAGUUGUUGACAGUAUCAUUAAAAUGAAGCUAAAUGACUCGGUACAUGUAACAAUAUAUGGUAGGCUGCUAUCCAGUACAGUUUCCUUCAGGUAGUAGUGAAGAAAAAUGGACAAAAAGAAGGAGAGCUGAUAUGAGAAAGAGAAAAUUAGCAUACCGGCAUGAGCUAUAAUUCGAGUGCUAGUUCAACAUACAUAGACCCAAUAGAGCAAAUCGUUGUGCAUGUUUCACGCAUCUAAAAAAAAUAUAGUUCAAUUGAGAGAGUCACCAGAGUACUUUAUAUGGUCUUUCUGCACUUUUUCUUGUCGAAGUAAUAUAACUUGGUGGAGGAACUCAAGAUUAGCCGAUCCAGUUUACUUCAAUAUGCAGGGCACUCACACAAAUAACUUUAUGAAAGAAACUGUAGCUGUCCUUAUGGGAUGCACAUCUAUACCUGUACCGCUGGUCCGCUGCACGAGCUCACCCUUGGCGGCGACCUGUAUGACACGAAGCACAUGUUCACGACGGAGUAGAUGUAUUGGUCACCAAGUGCAGGGGAGCACAUGCACGAAAUGUCUUCGAGUCGCGAGUUGCCACACCCAACCCCAAGGACCUACAGCACAACAACACGCAACAUAAGUGGCGGCGAGGUGCUGUGCUUCCACAGAGCUGACGCCCGAGCUCUCCAAACAAAAGUAUUCUUAUUUGAAUAAGGAUGAGCAUGAGCAUGAGCAUGAUCAAGAAUAUAAUUGAAUCAGAUGGUGUUUCCAAUAUAACUGAAUAUAACAAGAAUGAGCAUGAUCAAUAGCAGAUUGAAAUGGCUAAACAGACAACCACCAUCUUCCCGAAUCAACGAAGACUACACGGCAGGGAACGAAGUGCUCAUGGAACCAGCCAAAAUUCACACCAUCGGACAUGGAUGCCUCUACCGGCGGCGGAUAGGACGAGAGGCCGGGUAGAUUCGUCCCCGCGAAAUUCCGCACAACCGUGGCUGGAUCCUACGAGGUCGUCCUCAUUGCCGUCGGAUUCAUCCACGUACAUCACGGUAGGGGGAGGGCGCGAGAAGGUGAGCAUCUUCUCCUCGGUGUAUGUAGAAUAGCAUUUUUAGAUAAAGAGAAGGGGAUGAGCCUACACCAAUAUAUCACGAGCGGAACGUACCGACGAUGGCCGCUGCCGGAGUGGAUCGGAGAAGGGGAUGAGCCUAUGGGCUGGGUUCUCUGCCCGUCGCGCUGAUGGUCGACCACGGCAGAGAUCGGGAGCCCUCUUUCUCGGCGAAGAGGCGGCGGCUUGGCGUGGAGUCCGAAGCGAGGGGUCCAAAGGCGACCGACGAGGGAAGCAAGCGCGGAGCAGCAGGACGCUGGGCUGGUUGACGAGCUCCUGUGUGGCGGCGGCGCAGGAACCCUAACGCGUGCGAGGAUAUCGGCGGCAGAGGCUGUGAACUCCGGAUCACAAGACGGCGGGGCUGAGGCGAGAUCCGGCAGGGCAUAUCGGUGGCGGCUUUGAUGUGGGAGGGCGGCGGCGAAGGGAUCGAGCGGUGGGGGCGAAGGGAUGGAGCGGCGGCGACGAAGGGAUCGAGCGUGCGAGUGGUUCGAAGGAAGGAGGAAUCGCUCGUAUACCUGCGUGCGAUUCGUUUUUGUCGCUGGUUUAAUUUCGUAGGUCUUUUUUCGUAGAUUUUUUUUCAUCCGGUUCUCUCUGUUUCGAUCGGAGGUUUGGCCCCUUGACUUCGUGGGGGCAUAGCUAAGCCAGCCCUUUUUUUUUGUUCGAUGGCCCGGGGGUUGGGUGGGAGGGAGCACGAAAAAAAAUCGGUGUUGGUGGGACAAAAAUUAACCGAUGAACAGAGACGACCAACUGAUACUUUAAGAGUAGAGAUUAUUAAUUCAAUUCUAUAUAUAUACUACUCCCUCUCUAAAGAAAUGAUAAUCCAAACACUCUUAUGUUUCUUUAUUUACGGAGGAAGUACUACUUGCCAAACCGGUUAGUGUAAAAAUAAUCAUCACUUUAUAUGUACAAGGUGAUGUUUUGUUUAUGGUAUUUGCAAAGCUUUAAUCAUGGACACUCACAGAUCCCUCCGUUUCUAAAUAUAUGUCUUUUAAGAAAUUGCACUAGUAGAAAACUAUAUACGGAGCAAAAUGAGUGAAUCCAUCCAUGUUCUAAAGUAUGCCUAUAUUCAUCCGUAUGUAGUCUUUUAGUGAAACCUCUUAAAAGACUUAUAUUUGGGAUUUCUUUUCUAAGAUACUAUAUUCUUUUGGCAUAUAUUCCCAAAAAGAGCGAAUACCUCCAUGUGACUGUAUUUCUCAAAAAAAAAACUGAAAGUAAUUGCAAGUUGUACCCGACUAGCACAGAAUGAGAAAACACUACCCAAGAUACAUAUCAUUUAAAAUCCAUUAAUAACACAUCCAAACAUAAAGGGUUGAUUCUAAACUGUUUGCCACGCCCCUAAGAAAUACUCAUCACAACAGCCUCGAGCUGGCUGAUAAGUCUACUCAUCAGAAUGAUUACGCUUACGAGUAUCACAGAAACGAACCGGGGUCUCCAACACAUCGGUGACCAGCUGGACCAGAAACAGGACACACUCCUUAAACAAGCGAGUGUUGUUAGCUUUGAGUACAUGAACAGCAGUAUCGUUUAGCAUCAUGCUCAGCCUUUUGACUUUGGCUGAGACCAGAUCCUCCUUGGCAAGCAAUACGCCCAAGGCUUCCUCAAAGCACUUCCUCAAAUGUAAGAGCUUACUUGCUGAGUUCUUAAUGAGUAGGAGGGCUUCCAGGGCACCCCGUUCCAGCUUACCCUCCUGAAGCUUGAGCUGGGGUAACACAUCAUGCUCGAGCUUUUGGAUUUCCAGCGACAAGCCUGCCACGUCCGAGAGGGAAUCCAGCUGCGGGCAUUCCCAGGACCUCGACUCCAUGAUCAGCGGGCGGAGGAGCGCAUACGACUCCCACGCUAUGCGCACCGACUCCAGAGAGACAAGACUCACAAGCAUGGACUUAUUGGAGUGGCCCAGCUCAUCGGAGCGGGCCUGCAGGUCUUGGAUUUGGGCAUGGGAGUGGAUUUUGUAGAGCAUCAUUUCCUUUUGGCGGCGAAGAAGACUGCAGCAGCAGAAACAGACAGCACAAACAGAGGAGGAUUUAAUGUCAGGA